UAAGAUUCAUGCACUGACACCAAAAUACAGUCACCGGAAGACAAUCCUACCUUACUGAAUUCCACUCAAGGGCCAUCUUGUGCCCUAACGUGACCAUACUGAUUUGUUCCUUCGACUUUACUGAGAUGUCACUGACAUACAACACGCGGCAUGAAUUAGGGACUAUUACUAGCCCAUUUGGCAGAUGAGGAAACUGAGGUGUUGAGAGGCGAGGUCACACUGCAGCAUCUGCCUAGGUGGCCAUGACUAUUGUGCUGCUUUGGGAGUAUGAGGACAACUGAAGACAGGUUAUGAAGUGGACUGACGGAUCCUGGAUUAUCACGAAGAUUCGCCAAUGUUGUUGUGUGUAUUUGAGGCCCUCUUUUGCUCCUAAGGAAACUGAGGCACACGGAGGUGUAGUUUGGGGGAGUGAGGAGGAGGCGUCACACGGGUUUGGCCCCACAG